CCUACGGGGGGCAGCAGUGAGGAAUAUUGGUCAAUGGACGAGAGUCUGAACCAGCCAAGUAGCGUGAAGGAUGACUGCCCUAUGGGUUGUAAACUUCUUUUAUAAAGGAAUAAAACGAGGCACGUGUGCCUUUUUGCAUGUACUUUAUGAAUAAGGAUCGGCUAACUCCGUGCCAGCAGCCGCGGUAAUACGGAGGAUCCGAGCGUUAUCCGGAUUUAUUGGGUUUAAAGGGAGCGUAGAUGGGUUGUUAAGUCAGUUGUGAAAUUUUGCGGCUCAACCGUAAAAUUGCAAUUGAUACUGGCAGUCUUGAGUAUAGUUGAGGUAGGCGGAAUGCGUGGUGUAGCGGUGAAAUGCUUAGAUAUCACGCAGAACCCCGAUUGCGAAGGCAGCUUACUAAACUGUGACUGACAUUGAUGCUCGAAAGUGUGGGUAUCAAACAGGAUUAGAUACCCGAGUAGUC
rnacentral:rRNA from 1 species